UUUGCUUCUUGGCCUUUUGGCUAAGAUCAAGUGUAGUAUCUGUUCUUAUCAUUUUAAUAUCUGAUACGUCCUCAAUGAGAGGACUUAAUAUUAAACUGAUUUUUUUUUGUGGGGUUUUU
rnacentral:snRNA from 1 species